UAUGACACUGAAGCGAGUUGGAAA
rnacentral:miRNA from 2 species